GAUGAAGAACGUAGCGAAAUGCGAUAAGUAAUGCGAAUUGCAGAAUUCCGUGAGUCAUCGAAUCUUUGAACGCACAUUGCGCCCUCUGGUAUUCCGGAGGGCAUGCCUGUCUGAGCGUCAUUGUCAACCCUCAAGCUCAGCUUGCUGUUGGGUCCCCGUCGUUGCUUUAACGGCGGACCCGAAAGGUAAUGGCAGAGUCCGUGAGACCCUAGACGCAGCGAGCUUCUAGCACGCGUCUGGACGUUUUUCGGGCUCGGUCUUAACUAGAUGAUAACUUCCGAUUGACCUCAGAUCAGGUAGGGAUACCCGCUGACCUUAAGCAUAUCAAUAAGCGGAGGA
rnacentral:misc_RNA from 1 species